UACGUAGGGUGCAAGCGUUGUCCGGAAUUAUUGGGCGUAAAGAGCUCGUAGGCGGUCUGUCACGUCGGCUGUGAAAACCCGAGGCUCAACCUCGGGCCUGCAGUCGAUACGGGCAAGCUAGAGUACUGCAGGGGAGACUGGAAUUCCUGGUGUAGCGGUGAAAUGCGCAGAUAUCAGGAGGAACACCGGUGGCGAAGGCGGGUCUCUGGGCAGUAACUGACGCUGAGGAGCGAAAGCGUGGGGAGCGAACAGG
rnacentral:rRNA from 1 species